rnacentral:rRNA from 1 species
UGAACGCUGGCGGCGUGCCUAAUACAUGCAAGUCGAGCGCACAGACGCGGAGCUUGCUCCUCUGACGUUAGCGGCGGACGGGUGAGUAACACGUGGAUAACCUACCUAUAAGACUGGGAUAACUUCGGGAAACCGGAGCUAAUACCGGAUAAUAUAUUGAACCGCAUGGUUCAAUAGUGAAAGACGGUUUUGCUGUCACUUAUAGAUGGAUCCGCGCCGCAUUAGCUAGUUGGUAAGGUAACGGCUUACCAAGGCAACGAUGCGUAGCCGACCUGAGAGGGUGAUCGGCCACACUGGAACUGAGACACGGUCCAGACUCCUACGGGAGGCAGCAGUAGGGAAUCUUCCGCAAUGGGCGAAAGCCUGACGGAGCAACGCCGCGUGAGUGAUGAAGGUCUUCGGAUCGUAAAACUCUGUUAUUAGGGAAGAACAAAUGUGUAAGUAACUAUGCACGUCUUGACGGUACCUAAUCAGAAAGCCACGGCUAACUACGUG